GUUCCAUACAUAUUCAAAGAAACUCAUGGUCAUGAAAGUACUCAACAAUAGACAAAGUAUGGCAUAAAGCCAUGAAAAUACCGGGAAAAGAUAAUCUCCAGCAUUAACAUCAGACAACUGGCAGUUCAAAAAACAAUGCGGAUGAUGAACAAAGCAUUACUUAUAAACCGAUGUAAUGCGAAUAAGGACAGAUCCACUGACACCAUCAGUGGCAGAGCUAUCUACUGGAAGAAAUGUGAAGCCUGGAUUAUAUUCUUCAAUCUUCCAUUUUGC